GACGAACGCUGGCGGCGUGCUUAACACAUGCAAGUCGAACGGGCCUUGUCCCCUUUUUUUUGGGGGUGGGGUUAGUGGCGAACGGGUGAGUAACACGUGAGUAACCUGCCCCUCACUUCUGGAUAACCGCUUGAAAGGGUGGCUAAUACGGGGUGUUCUGGCCUGCUCGCAUGGGUGGGUUUGGAAAGAUUCGACCGGUUUUGGUUGUUUUGGUGGGGGAUGGGCUCGCGGCCUAUCAGCUUGUUGGUGGGGUGAUGGCCUGCCAAGGCUUUGACGGGUAGCCGGCCUGAGAGGGUGGGCGGUCACACUGGGACUGAGACACGGCCCAGACUCCUACGGGAGGCAGCAGUGGGGAAUAUUGCACAAUGGGCGAAAGCCUGAUGCAGCGACGCCGCGUGAGGGAUGGAGGCCUUCGGGUUGUGAACCUCUUUCGCCAGUGAAGAAGGUCCUGCUCUUUGUGGUGGGGUUGACGGUAGCGGGGUUAAUGAAGCGCCGGCUAACUACGUG
rnacentral:rRNA from 1 species